rnacentral:lncRNA from 10 species
GAACAACUCCAGACGGGAGGAACGAACAAUUCUGGACGGGAGGAACGAACAACUCCGGAUGGGAGGAAUGAACAACUCUGGACGAGGAACGAACAAUUCUGGACGGGAGGAACAAACAACUCCGGAUGGGAGGAAUGAACAACUCUGGACGAGCCACCUUUAUGAACUGUAACACUCACCAUGAAGGUCUGCAGCUUCAUUCCUGAAGUCAGCAAGACCACAAACCCACCAGAAGGAAUGAACAACUCCAGAUGCACCGCCUUUAAGAGCCGUAACACUCACCGCGAGGGUCUGCAGCUUCACUCCUGAAGUCAGUGAGACCACAAACCCACCAGAAGGAAGAAACUCCAGACACAUCUGAACAUCUGAAGGAACGAACUCCGGACACACCAUCAUUAAGAACUGUAACACUCACCGCGAGGGUCAGCGGCUUCAUUCUUUAAGUCAGUGAAACCAAGAACCCACAAUUCCGGACACACCAGCACUUUGGGAGGCCGAGGCGGG